rnacentral:lncRNA from 13 species
AUGAUUCUGCCAAGAGGAAAAAGUCAUUUGCUCUUCUUUUCAGAGUCUGGUCAUUGUGGGGAAGAAUGGGGAAAAAAAAUCCAUCUGAAGGCCAAAACUUUCUUUUGUGCCAGCACAAGAAAGAAAGUAACUUUUGGAUUUAAGGCUUGGCAGCCAACCAAGCUCCAGAGAACAACGGAAGCUGCCCAGCACCAGGCACGAGGGGCAGGCAGGUACAGGGAGAAGACCUGGAAAAAAUUGCCAGACCAACUCAAAAUCACAAAGUUUCCAGAGCUUAUAUACCUUCUAAGCCAUGUGUCUAUGUGUAAGUAUGCCUUCAUCUAAAGACAUAAGUGAUUAACAUAAAAAUAUGUUGUUUAUGUUAGGAUGUAAUAGGUUUUCUAUUUUUAUUUUUAAAUGAACUCAUAAAUGAAUGUUUUUAGAGUUAAAAAUAUGGUAAAAUUUACAGAUAUGUGGUGUUGUAUAAAAAAUACAGUUAAUAUUAGUAGAUAUAAGCCACAAAAACAAAAGUUUUCUGUAGUUCUAAGCAAUUUUUAAGCAUAUAAAGAUGUUCUGAGCCCCCAGAAUUUGAGCACUGCUGCUCUAUGCCAUGCUAGAAAGCCUGGGGAUUGUUUACUCUUGGUCAGGCACCCCCUAUUAUGAAAUCAACUGUGUCAGGGAGCAGAGGUCUGGUGGGUAGGUCUGGGGUAAGGCGUGGCCAUGACUACCCAUUCCUCAGGCCCAGGUGGGGCAGCCGUCCCUUAGAAGGAGCUGUAGGAGCAGCAGGUGCCGUGAUCAAAUGGCCAACACACCGGUCGAGUUUGGCUCAUCCUUUAGAUGCUCACAGACUCCAGGAAGCUGGUGUUUUCCUGGGCUAACGUGGCUAUGCCCUAGACCUUGCUAACCUUCACAGCCCUGUGAUUUGGUUUGGCUCUGUGUCCCCACCCAAAUCUCAUCUUGAAUUGUAAUCCCCAUGUGUCAAGGGAGGGAAAUGACUGGAUCAUGGGGGUGGUUUCUCCCAUCCUGUUCUCAUGAUAGUGAGUGAGUUCUCAUGAGAUCUGAUGGUUUGAUAAUCGUCUGGCAUUUCCCCUACUUGCAGUUCUCUGUCCUGUUCCCAUGCGGAGAAGAUCCUUGCAUCCCAUUCUGCCAUGAUUGUAUGUUUCCUGAGGCUUCCCCAGCCAUGUGGAACUGUGAGUCAAUUAAACCUCUUUUAUCCAGUCUCAGGUUGUAUCUUUAUAGCAGUGCGAGAAUGGACUAAUACACCUUGACCUUAGAGGUUGAGUUAGAAUGUCCUGUUCAUAGGUGUGUCUUUAGCAUGAGAGUAUGAGUUCCUCAAUGAGAGUGA